GACGUAGGGCGCGAGCGUUGUCCGGAUUUAUUGGGCGUAAAGCGCUCGUAGGCGGCUUGUCGCGUCGUCCGUGAAAACUUGGGGCUCAACCCCAAGCUUGCGGUCGAUACGGGCAGGCUAGAGUUCGGUAGGGGAGACUGGAAUUCCUGGUGUAGCGGUGAAAUGCGCAGAUAUCAGGAGGAACACCGGUGGCGAAGGCGGGUCUCUGGGCCGAUACUGACGCUGAGGAGCGAAAGCGUGGGGAGCGAACAGG
rnacentral:rRNA from 1 species